UUCACGUUUAGAUUUUACGUUAAGCGUUUAGGACACAACAAUUGCUAUAUAUAAUGCUUAAAAAAAAUUCAGUCAAGUUUUUAAUUUAACGUGUGCUCAAAACUUCAGAAAUUUUGAUUGGUGUUCAAAUUAUAGAAGCAAAAAAGAGAAGUAAAGUUUUCUAGCUUUACUAUUUAAAGUUAGGAUACAUUAUUUUCAUAACAUAUUUAGUGAAGCAAAAUUUAUGAAUUACGUACUAAUAAUAUUAUUUGUGGCUUGCUCCUGCAUCAUUGGACUUUUAAUAGUAAUUUACAUAUGGAAUGAAAUAACAAAUAAAUCUAUUGCUAUGAUGCCUAACGUAAGCUGGUCACUCUCACACGAUAUGCACAACUGUGAUUUUCAUUCUACGCCUUUUAAAUCUACGAAGAUUUUUCUUAUACAAGAUUCGCCAGUUAAAAUAGAUUCAACAAACUGUAACAUGGAUUCAGAAGUAUUGGAUGAAACAUUGCAAUACUCUUUUAGUAAAAAACCGCCAUCAUAUAGUCUGCAACAAGUAUAAAAUCAAUAAAUAAAAAAAUGUCGAUAGCGA